ACAAUGCCCUGCACAUAGUAAGCACUCAAUAAGAAUGCAUGCAUGAAUGAAUGAAUAAUUUGCUUGUGCUUCUCUUCCAAUCAUCUUUCAAAUGCCCCUUCUUCCCACUCCACUCUACCUAAGCCCUUCCCAAUAAACCCUACAGGAAGGAGAAUAAACAAACCCUUCCCAAACUGGUCUUCGCAGAAAGCAGGAAUAGCAAAUAAAUUCUACACUGAGGUGCUGGGUUGUACUUCAUGGGAACCACCUGGUAUUUAUCAUCAUCCUCUGGGGUAUUUACUGAGAGCUUACUAUGUACAAUACAACAGAGCUGGUAGACACCUUCCUUGUGGGAAGCUUACUGUAUGCAGUGGACUGUACUAAGCAUUUGGGUGAGAGUACAAUACAACAAAAAUCAGAAGCUCAUGGUAAAAUUCACUGGUGGAGUUGCCCUAGAAAAUACUUCCUUCUUGGUCAGAUUCAAAGAGGGAAUAUUUGGUUCAAGUAUUAUCUGUCCUGAAAAUGCUCUAUAUUUGUUGAGAAAGCAAAGCAUAUUUUUGUGCCAAUCUAGAGCCCUUCUUCAAACCCACAUUUUCCCAUUGGGGUAUAUUUUCCCACUGAAAUUGGGGGUCAGGAAGAUUUUAUUGUUUGAUCAACUGUUGGAAUUGUUUUGGGGGGAGAUGAAAUUGAAAUUCUUCUCAGGGGAAACAAAAGGGGGGAAAUCACUGGAAGUUUACCAGUAACCCCUUGGCGUCCUCAGGUCCCUGUGGAAAUAUGCUGAAGGCAUUCAAUGUAGACAAAGCUAGCCCCUCAGGAGAAGAGAGAACUAAGGGGGCUUUGGGAGACUUGUGGGGCCCAGCACUUAUGGAGAGGAGAUGAGGAGCUGAUUGCCUGAGGGCCAGGGGAGGAGGGGGCCUGCACGGGAAGGGGAAAGCAUCUCAAAUUAUUUCUGGGGUUGGAGGAAAUUCUAAGCCUUGGAUCUUCGAGUCAAGUGUGAAAAUUCUCCUUUAAGUGUUUGUGAUCUCAGAAGCAUGUCUCACAAAAUUCAUAUCUUGAGAAAUAAUGAAACUGUAUUAAUGUUUUCCACAUUGAAUUCUAUUCAGGGAUACAUAAUUAUCAAAAAGUAAAGAAAAUGAAACUUUUACUAAGGGGAUGAGUGGGAAAUUUUGAAAAAUAGGUAAAAAUGAACCUUUCCAAGGGAAAUUAAUUUUAAGAAUCCUUAAAACACCAAAUAAAAUUUCUUAUUAUUGCUGUUAUCUUCCAAGUGAUCCUGUGCUGGGAUAGUCAAGGCCCCAUCAGGCUCUGGAAGCCCAAGUGCACUGAACAGUUAAUAGAUUUAUUCCCAGGAUGCCUGCCAUAUCCUUGGACACAGGAAGUUCCAAGGGGUUAUCCAGAUCCAGACCUGCGCUCCAAUAACAACAGUACAGCCCGUGGGGAGGGUGAGGAGGGUCAGGUGGCUAGAUGCUGAAAACACCCAAGUCCACAGGUGGAGAUUGGCACUCUGGGCUCGAGCAGGGAGCACCAAGCUCCAUCACGGAGCAGCAGUAAGUGGUCACCCCGGGGCAAGUCAGAGAAGGUCUCUGGCAGAAACUGAACAGAGGUAUGAGGGGGUGGGAAAGAAAACUGUCAUGAAUAGUUAUCCUUGUGAUGGACUUUGGGUAACGUGGCAAGAGACGGUGUCGUUGCUCUCACACCUGAGGGGGCUUUUUCACGUCAAAGUUUGCAAAAAAAAAUCUGUUUCCUCCAGCAGGAAAGUACCAUCAGCCUUCCCAGAAGAAUGAGGUGAAGUUCCUGGCAGAGCAAAAGUGGAAUCCCGGCUAGCGAAGGAGUCCCUGCUGGCCCGGCAGCUGUCCCUGCAGCUCCAUAUUGCAAGGGAGAAGCAGGGACAGUAUGUGCACAUUGAGGGGGUCUGGCUUCCUCUGGAAUUCACCAGCCUGCUGACUGCUAUCCCAGGACAGGUUUCAGCACCCCAGCUGAGACCAUCUCUGGCCAGGGAAGAAAACAGUAAGAGAAAUCCUGCUUCAAGGAAGAAUUGGAUAAGGUACCUACAGUCCCGCGCGGGAAGAAGGAAAACACGCAUUAAUGAGGGAAGGAGGGACAAUGAGAGGGACUAAAUUACUUCUUGAGUGGCUUUAAAAAAGUGAUUUGUUGGGAAAAUGAGGUUGUUACAGGCAGAGGAAGAACACAUCCUUGGCUACUGAAGAAGUUGUGAGAUGGCUUCCGCAUCAAUGGCCUGGCAGCUGUCCCUGCAGCCCCAUAUUGCAGGGGGGAAGCAGGGGCAGCAGGGUGAGAUGGAGCAGGGAAACUGGUUGUGAGGAGGUAGGACGGAGGGUGUGAAACCCCAGCAGCAUUGCCAUUAGGUGCCCCUUGAUCCUCGGUGGGAGCACCAUUGGAA